rnacentral:rRNA from 1 species
GACGAACGCUGGCGGCGUGCUUAACACAUGCAAGUCGAACGCUGAAGCUCAGCUUUUGUUGGGUGGAUGAGUGGCGAACGGGUGAGUAACACGUGAGUAACCUGCCUCCUUCUUUGGGAUAACGCCCGGAAACGGGUGCUAAUACUGGAUAUUCACUGGUCUUCGCAUGGGGGUUGGUGGAAAGGGUUUUUCUGGUGGGGGAUGGGCUCGCGGCCUAUCAGCUUGUUGGUGGGGUGAUGGCCUACCAAGGCUUUGACGGGUAGCCGGCCUGAGAGGGUGACCGGUCACAUUGGGACUGAGAUACGGCCCAGACUCCUACGGGAGGCAGCAGUGGGGAAUAUUGCACAAUGGGCGCAAGCCUGAUGCAGCGACGCCGCGUGAGGGAUGGAGGCCUUCGGGUUGUGAACCUCUUUCGCUCAUGGUCAAGCCGCAACAAUGGUUGUGGUGAGGGUAGUGGGUAAAGAAGCGCCGGCUAACUACAUG